rnacentral:rRNA from 1 species
GACGAACGCCGGCGGCGUGCUUAACACAUGCAAGUCGAACGGAAAGGCCCUGCUUUUGUGGGGUGCUCGAGUGGCGAACGGGUGAGUAACACGUGAGUAACCUGCCCUUGACUUUGGGAUAACUUCAGGAAACUGGGGCUAAUACCGGAUAGGAGCUCCUGCUGCGUGGUGGGGGUUGGAAAGUUUCGGCGGUUGGGGAUGGACUCGCGGCUUAUCAGCUUGUUGGUGGGGUAGUGGCUUACCAAGGCUUUGACGGGUAGCCGGCCUGAGAGGGUGACCGGCCACAUUGGGACUGAGAUACGGCCCAGACUCCUACGGGAGGCAGCAGUGGGGAAUAUUGCACAAUGGGCGGAAGCCUGAUGCAGCAACGCCGCGUGCGGGAUGACGGCCUUCGGGUUGUAAACCGCUUUCGCCUGUGACGAAGCGUGAGUGACGGUAAUGGGUAAAGAAGCACCGGCUAACUACGUG